rnacentral:rRNA from 1 species
UGCGUAGGGGGCAAGCGUUGUCCGGAUUUAUUGGGCGUAAAGAGCGUGUAGGCGGCUUUGCAAGUCCGUUGUGAAAACUCGAGGCUCAACCUCGAGACGCCGGUGGAAACUGCAAAGCUAGAGUCCGGAAGAGGAGAGUGGAAUUCCUGGUGUAGCGGUGAAAUGCGCAGAUAUCAGGAAGAACACCCGUGGCGAAGGCGGCUCUCUGGGACGGUACUGACGCUGAGACGCGAAAGCGUGGGGAGCGAACAGG